GAUGAACGCUGGCGGCGUGCCUAAUACAUGCAAGUCGAGCGAACAGACGAGGAGCUUGCUCCUCUGACGUUAGCGGCGGACGGGUGAGUAUCACGUGGAUAACCUACCUAUAAGACUGGGAUAACUUCGGGAAACCGGAGCUAAUACUGGAUAAUAUAUUGAACCGCAUGGUUCAAUAGUGAAAGACGGUUUUGCUGUCACUUAUAGAUGGAUCCGCGCCGCAUUAGCUAGUUGGUAAGGUAACGGCUUACCAAGGCAACGAUGCGUAGCCGACCUGAGAGGGUGAUCGGCCACACUGGAACUGAGACACGGUCCAGACUCCUACGGGAGGCAGCAGUAGGGAAUCUUCCGCAAUGGGCGAAAGCCUGACGGAGCAACGCCGCGUGAGUGAUGAAGGUCUUCGGAUCGUAAAACUCUGUUAUUAGGGAAGAACAAAUGUGUAAGUAACUAUGCACGUCUUGACGGUACCUAAUCAGAAAGCCACGGCUAACUACGUG
rnacentral:rRNA from 1 species